rnacentral:rRNA from 1 species
AGCAGCCGCGGUAAUUCCAGCUCCAAUAGCGUAUAUUAAAGUUGUUGCAGUUAAAAAGCUCGUAGUUGAAUUUCAGGCCUGGCUGGACGGUCCGCCCUUCGGGUGAGUACUGUCUGUGGUCGGGUCCUACCUUCUGGCGAAGCGUCAUGGCCUUAACCGGCCGUGGCGGGGAACCAGGACUUUUACUGUGAAAAAAUUAGAGUGUUCAAAGCAGGCAAUCGCUUGGAUACAUUAGCAUGGAAUAAUGGAAUAGGACAAUGGUUCUAUUUGUUGGUUUCUAGGACCGUUGUAAUGAUUAAUAGGGAUAGUUGGGGGCAUUAGUAUUCAAUUGUCAGAGGUGAAAUUCUUGGAUUUAUUGAAGACUAACUACUGCGAAAGCAUUCGCCAAGGAUGUUUUCAUUAAUCAAGAACGAAAGUUAGGGGAUCGAAGACGAUCAGAUACCGUCGUAGUCUUAACCAUAAACUAUGCCGACUAGGAAUCGGGCGAUGUUGAAAAAAUGACGC